AGCGAACGCUGGCGGCAGGCCUAACACAUGCAAGUCGAACGAACCCUUCGGGGUUAGUGGCGGACGGGUGAGUAACACGUGGGAACGUGCCUUUAGGUUCGGAAUAACUCAGGGAAACUUGCGCUAAUACCGAAUGUGCCCUUCGGGGGAAAGAUUUAUCGCCUUUAGAGCGGCCCGCGUCUGAUUAGCUAGUUGGUGAGGUAAUGGCUCACCAAGGCUACGAUCAGUAGCUGGUCUGAGAGGUUGACCAGCCACAUUGGGACUGAGACACGGCCCAAACUCCUACGGGAGGCAGCAGUGGGGAAUCUUGCGCAAUGGGCGAAAGCCUGACGCAGCCAUGCCGCGUGGAUGAUGAAGGUCUUAGGAUUGUAAAAUCCUUUCACCGGUGAAGAUAAUGACUGUAGCCGGAGAAGAAGCCCCGGCUAACUUCGUGCCAGCCGCCGCCGUAAAAC
rnacentral:rRNA from 1 species